rnacentral:snRNA from 1 species
AUACUUACCUGGACGGGGUCUAUGGCUGAUCAAGAAGAGCCAUGGCCUAGGCUAGUGGCCCACAUUGCACUUUGUGGGUGCGCUGGCCUACCAUCUCCCCUUUGAGGGAGAGUGGAUGUCGUAAUUUGUGAUAGAGGGGGUACGUGUUCGCGCGGCCCCUG